CCCCUUGACCCCAGGGAUUCCAAGACCUCCAAGGUUCUUGUGGCCAAAGAGCCGAGAUCAGUCAGCACCGACUUUGGGGAUGAGCAGGACCUUGAGCUUGGGAGUGGAGAGCCAGAGCCCGACAAGCAGCAGGAGAGGAAGCUCUCAAGGCAAGACCGGAUCGAGCUCAGCCGCUUGUUCCAGCAUGCCGUGAGCUCUCAUGAUUGGGAGUGCACCGAUGGCUUCCUGGGCAAAGUUGAUGCACAUGGAUUCAAUGACGUGCUCUGCAUGGCGGUCGAUGCCAUUUGGUUCUUGAGCGACAAGGAGGAGCUGUAUGCGAUCGUCUCCUUAAUCAAGAGGAUUGUGUCGGCAGGUGUGAAUGAUUUCACAUGCGCCGCACUCCGGACAUCGUUCCUGGCAUCGUGUGUGUCUGCAUGCAGGGGGCGGACGACCAGCCUCGCUGAUGCCGUGAACUUCAUGGGUCAAAAGUUGCAUGAACACCUCCAAGAAUCCCAUGGCGAUGAGGUAUUGAAGGCAGAGGCAAGUGCAAAGGUACAUAAGUUCACAGAAUGGGCUCUGAAGUGCAUUGGGUUACACGCCCGUGUGCGAGAGAGUUGGGGCAAAGGAAACCAUGGCACAAUCAUUGAUGUUCAGCUUCAUCUACGUGCUUUCAAGACAUUUCUGGAUAUUGCUGAUAAUGAUCUUACCGCGAAAGAUUUCACUAAGGCCUUUGAUGCUGCAUGCUUUCCUCUUAAACUGUUCUCAAGCACCUUUGACCAAGGAUGGGCAGCAGGGAUCUCAGCAGCUGCUAUACAAGGUUUGUUAGAGUUGUUGGUAGAGGGUGGCGCAGACAAUGUGAGCCAAUACUUCCUUGAAGCUGCACGCUAUGGAAGCACUGAACCCGUCCGCAUCUUACUUCAGAUUACUCAAAGGAACAGCUUUGACAUUGAUGUUGAUCUAGCCCUUAGCUUUGCUGCCCACUACGGGAAACUCGAAAACAUGGGGUGCUUAGUUGAGGAAGUUAAUACUAUCGCCUUCCUUGGCCCUUUAAUGCGGGCAGCUGAGCAUGGAUGCCUUCAAGUUGUGGAAUGGUUCGUGAACCGUGGCUGUCGUUGUUACUACCUUGGCUGA
rnacentral:rRNA from 1 species